GGGGAAUAAGCAUCAACUAAUAUUGUGAUAGCAAUCACGAUAAUACAAAGAAUGCAAUCAUUAUCCGGAAUGAUUGGGCGUAAAGCGUCUAUGAUGCAUGACUUUCGUCAGCUCUUACCGUAAGGUAUUGAGUUAAGUCCCGCAACGAGCGUAAUCCUCGUUUUUAGUUGCCAUCAUUGAAUUUGAAAUCUUGAAUAAAUUGUUGAUAAUAAGCAGAAAGAAGGUGAGGAUGAUGACGCCAUGUCAUCAUUCCCCUUAGGCGAUACAUGUGCUACAAUGGCACGGACAAAGGAUCGUGAUUCCGUGAGGAGCUAACCCCAAAAACUCGUCCUCGGUUCGGAUUGCACGUUGCAACUCGCCUGCAACUG
rnacentral:ncRNA from 1 species